rnacentral:rRNA from 1 species
UGGGCUCCCAGCUAACGCAUUAAGUAGACCGCCUGGGGAGUACGGCCGCAAGGUUAAAACUCAAAUGAAUUGACGGGGGCCCGCACAAGCGGUGGAGCAUGUGGUUUAAUUCGAUGCAACGCGAAGAACCUUACCUACUCUUGACAUCCACAGAACUCGCUAGAGAUAGCUUGGUGCCUUCGGGAACUGUGAGACAGGUGCUGCAUGGCUGUCGUCAGCUCGUGUUGUGAAAUGUUGGGUUAAGUCCCGCAACGAGCGCAACCCUUAUCCUUAUUUGCCAGCACGUAAUGGUGGGAACUUUAGGGAGACUGCCGGUGAUAAACCGGAGGAAGGUGGGGACGACGUCAAGUCAUCAUGGCCCUUACGAGUAGGGCUACACACGUGCUACAAUGGUCGGUACAGAGGGUCGCAAAGCCGCGAGGUCAAGCUAAUCCCACAAAGCCGGUCGUAGUCCGGAUCGGAGUCUGCAACUCGAUUCCGUGAAGUCGGAAUCGCUAGUAAUCGUAGAUCAGAAUGCUACGGUGAAUACGUUCCCGGGCCUUGUGCACACCGCCCGUCACACCAUGGGAGUGGGCUGCACCAGAAGUAGAUAGCUUAACCUUUCGGGGAGGGCGUUUACCACGGUGUGGUUCAUGACUGGGGUGAAGUCGUAACAAGGUAGCCG